UAUUGGCUCUCUUCUCGUCUCCUUCUCUCGCGUACACCCGGCGCCCCCAUCGACCCGUCGCCUAGUGCCCUAUCCGGCCGCAGCGGCGUCGUCCCCAGCCAGGUCGGCGUCUUCCUCUCCGGCCGCCUCCUCGACCUCGCCAUCUCCGGCCAGCGCGGCCUCCUCCCGCCUCACGGACCUCCCGGCGCCCCGGCCCUCGUCUGUCGCCUUCAACCCCGGCCGGCGCGGCCUCCUCCCACCUCGGCGACAACCCGACCCCCGUCUGCCGCCUUCACCCCAGGCCGGCACCUCCCGACUGCCCCGGCUGCCACCGCCAACCCUAGCCAGCGUGGCCUCCACUGGUGGGCGCUGCCACCCCCAGCCGUCGCGGCCUCCAUGGCCUCCCCUAGAUCCAUGCAGAUGGAUUGAAUUCUGAAGUAGCAUCAGAGAUUUGGGACCUUGCAGUGUGUGAAUUCUGAAGUGUUUAGCAUCAGAGAUUUGGCCAAUUAGGUCUUCAGAUUUGGAAGGUUGAACACUCGAUUGGCAUGGUAGAAAGGGGAAGUUACAAAUUAACGGCAUGAGUUCAAAGGACGCCUCCUCAGGGCGGAUCCAGAACAGUCUAGAGUAGAGGUUCAGCUGGUUGAUUAUGAGACGAGUUCAGAUUCAUCGCUAUCAACUUUAGGUUCAGAAAAACUAGAUAGUUGUACAAGUGGGCCAAUAUGUCUUGAGUAUGGAUCAAUUGCAGAGGCAACAACACCGAAUGGGGCAGAUCCACAAAAGCUAGAUAGUGUUACAAUUGGGCCUUUAUGUCUAGAGAACCAGGCAAUUUCAGAGGCCAACCCUCCAACGGGUACAACUUAUGAAAUGCCUUUAUGUCUGGAGUAUGAGGCAAUUUCAGAAGCCAACCCUCCAACGGGUACAUCUUAUGAAAUGCCUUUAUGUCUGGAGUAUGAGGCAAUUUUAGAAGCAAACCCUCCAACGGGUACAUCUUAUGAAAUGCCAAGCUGGACUAUAGGUCUGCAAGAUGAACCAAUUCAGUAUGUUGAUUGGGAUAGGUUGGACAUAGAGGAAAAUUUGGAUGAUGAGGGGAAGGAUUAAGGUUAUGAGCGAUGACCAAUUUUUUCUCCUACUAGGGUUUAGAGAAGAGGAUGAUAGGGCCGCAAAUUAUGGGCAUGCUCCUAGUUCAAGUAAUGUUGAUGCAAGUGGUCUUGGAGUUGAUGAGGGCACCGAGGGUGCAUCUAUUCUUGUUGCCGAUUCAGUACCGGGUGAGCUUGUAAUAAGCUAUGAUAAGAACAACCCUUGUAUGGAUCGAGGCACUAAAUACCCCUCAAUGAAGGAAUUUAGGUUGGCAGUGAGACAAUUUGGUAUUAAGAAUUUGAGUUGGGCAAAGUUAAAACUGAUAAGGAGAGAUACAUGGUAACAUGUGCAGCUGAAGGAUGUAAAUGGAGUCUUGUUGGGCGUAGACAGAGCGAUAAUAAAACUAUAAUGGUCACAGUUCACAAUGAGGAGCAUAAUUGUACAUCUAGCAUGAGGAUAAGGACAACUACGCCUUCGCAAGGUUGGGUGGCUGACAGGGCUCUUGACAUCCUCAAGACUUCACCAACCAUGGGUGCGAAAGAGCUACUUACCAGGUUGCAAGAUGAACACAAUGUAACUCUGGCUUACAAUACAGUUUGGUGUGGGCUGGAGAAAGCAAAGAAAGAGUUGUAUGGAUCUUGGGAAGAAAGUUUUUACAUGUUGUAUAGUUGGAAGGAAGAAGUCCUUAAGAGAUCACCUGGUAGUGUUAUAGAAAUUGAUAUCAAGGUGGUGGAUGGGAGAGCAUACUUUCAUAGGUUUUUCUGUGCAUUUAGUCCUUGCAUUAAGGGGUUUUUGGCUGGUUGUAGACCUCACUUGAGUGUAGAUUCUACCCAUCUGAAUGGUAGGUGGAAUGGUCAUUUAGCUGCAGCGACAUUAAUAGAUGGGCAUAAUUGGAUGUAUCCUGUUGCAUUUGGUUUCAUAGACUCCAAGACUGAGGACAAUUGGGUUUGGUUCAUGUCACAGCUUCAUAAGGCCAUAGGAGAUUUAGAACCUCUUGCAAUAUGUUCAGAUGCAUGUAAGGGGUUAGAGAAUACAGUUCAUAAGGUUUUCCCUGAAGCUGAACAAAGAGAAUGUUUUUGGCAUUUUUUGAAGAAUUUUUCAAAGAAGUUCCAUGGCAAUACUUUUGCUAAUAUGUACCCUGCAGCUAGAGCUUAUAGGGAAGCGGUGUUUUAGAAGCACAAGACACCUAUUACUAAUGGUCCCCCAAAAGUUUGGAAAUGGUUGUCCACAUAUCAUAGUUUGAAGUGGAGGAGAUGUGGAUUCAACACUGCAAUCAAGUCUGACUACAUCAGAAACAAUAUUGCAGAAGUUUUCAAUAAUUGGAUUUCUGAAAUAAAAGACUUACCCGGUUGUUGACCUAGUUGACAGGCUAAGAGAGAAGGUAAUGGUUCUAGGGACAAGAGAAGGAGUAUUGGAGAACGACUUCAGGGUAGGGUUCUACCAGCUGUAAUCCUUCAACUAAAGGCAAGAACAGGAGGUUUAGGGCACUUGAAGGUUAUUACAGCUAGUCUACACACUGCCGAGGUGCAAGACUUCGGCAAGGAUUUUGGAAGGCAUGUCGUUACAAUAACAACAAAGACAUGCACUUGUGAGGAAUGGCAACACACCGGGCAACCUUGUGAUCAUGCAUUGGCCUUUUUAACAACUCAGAGAAAUGUGAACUUGGCAGACUAUGUUGACAUGUUUUACUCAGUGGAGAAGUUCAAGGCUGCAUAUGAGAGGGAGAUACCAGCUAUGCCAGAUAAGUCCUAUUGGCCAAAGGUUAACAUGCCAUUUGAUUUUGGGUGCACCACUUGGGAAGAGGAGUGUGGGGAGACAGAGAAAAUUGAGGAUUAAAGGAUGCCUUGAGAUUGGUGGUAGCACUAGGUCAAAGAGUGAUGCCAAAAAUAAAAAAGUAAUCAGAGGGCCUGUUACAUGCAAAAGAUGUGGAGAGAAAGGCCAUAGGCAAGCUAGCUAUAAGUGCUCACUAAAUGGAACAACAAAAAGGAAAAGGAAAACUAAGAAGGCCAAAGCUAAGAACCAAGCUGAACCUUCCACACCAAAAAAAACAACUAAUGUAGAUAGAAUUUUGCAAGAAAGCCCCGGAAUGGUUACAAGGAGGCGUCUUGCAAUGCUACUGGGUGGAGGAACAAUUAAUUCUGGAGCGGCAGGGGCUGGAUACACAACAAAUCAGUCUAGAGAAGCAAGCACUUCUGGAGGAUCAUCUCAACCUAUAAAGAAAAAAAAAGGUAACUCCCAAGAAAAUGAAAAUAACCUAAUUGCAUCAUGUGGAGUUGGCUACAAUUGAAUCUACUGAGAUGUGAAAUCAGUUCAAUGUUGUAUUUUUCUUAUUAAUUAUGUGUAAAAUGACAGCUGCAACACAUGUAUUUUGGAAGGGCCUGAGAGACGAACUCAUGUAUUAAGUCCUUUCUAAAUCUUUUGUCAUGUUCAGUAAUAGUUAUUACUAUUUGAGAUUGAUUAUGUGAUA